rnacentral:rRNA from 1 species
UACGGAGGGGGCUAGCGUUGUUCGGAAUUACUGGGCGUAAAGCGCACGUAGGCGGCUUUGCAAGUUAGAGGUGAAAGCCCGGGGCUCAACUCCGGAAUUGCCUUUAAGACUGCAUCGCUAGAAUUGUGGAGAGGUAAGUGGAAUUCCGAGUGUAGAGGUGAAAUUCGUAGAUAUUCGGAAGAACACCAGUGGCGAAGGCGGCUCACUGGUCCGGUACUGACGCUGAGGUGCGAAAGCGUGGGGAGCAAACAGG